rnacentral:rRNA from 1 species
AUUGAACGCUGGCGGCAUGCCUUACACAUGCAAGUCGAACGGCAGCACGGGAGCAAUCCUGGUGGCGAGUGGCGAACGGGUGAGUAAUAUAUCGGAACGUGCCCAGUAGUGGGGGAUAGCCCGGCGAAAGCCGGAUUAAUACCGCAUACGACCUGAGGGUGAAAGCGGGGGAUCGCAAGACCUCGCGCUAUUGGAGCGGCCGAUAUGAGAUUAGCUAGAUGGUGGGGUAAAGGCCUACCAAGGCGACGAUCUGUAGCUGGUCUGAGAGGACGACCAGCCACACUGGGACUGAGACACGGCCCAGACUCCUACGGGAGGCAGCAGUGGGGAAUUUUGGACAAUGGGCGCAAGCCUGAUCCAGCCAUGCCGCGUGCGGGAAGAAGGCCUUCGGGUUGUAAACCGCUUUUGUCAGGGAAGAAACGGCUCUUGCUAAUAUCGAGAGCUAAUGACGGUACCUGAAGAAUAAGCACCGGCUAACUACGUGCCAGCCGCCGCGGUAA